rnacentral:tRNA from 1 species
GGGUUCGGCCGGGAUUUGAACCCGGGACCUCUCGCACCCUAAGCGAGAAUCAUACCACUAGACCACCGAACC